rnacentral:rRNA from 1 species
UACGAAGGGGGCUAGCGUUGCUCGGAAUCACUGGGCGUAAAGCGCGUGUAGGCGGCUUGGUAAGUCCGUUCUGAAAGCCCGGGGCUCAACCCCGGGAGGCGGAUGGAUACUGUCAAGCUUGAGUCCGGAAGAGGCGAGUGGAAUUCCCGGUGUAGCGGUGAAAUGCGCAGAUAUCGGGAGGAACACCAAUGGCGAAGGCAGCUCGCUGGGACGUGACUGACGCUGAGACGCGAAAGCGUGGGGAGCAAACAGG